rnacentral:rRNA from 1 species
CCUACGGGAGGCAGCAGUGGGGAAUAUUGCACAAUGGGCGAAAGCCUGAUGCAGCGACGCCGCGUGAGGGAUGACGGCCUUCGGGUUGUAAACCUCUUUCAGCAGGGAAGAAGCGAAAGUGACGGUACCUGCAGAAGAAGCGCCGGCUAACUACGUGCCAGCAGCCGCGGUAAUACGUAGGGCGCAAGCGUUGUCCGGAAUUAUUGGGCGUAAAGAGCUCGUAGGCGGCUUGUCACGUCGGAUGUGAAAGCCCGAGGCUUAACCUCGGGUCUGCAUUCGAUACGGGCUAGCUAGAGUGUGGUAGGGGAGAUCGGAAUUCCUGGUGUAGCGGUGAAAUGCGCAGAUAUCAGGAGGAACACCGGUGGCGAAGGCGGAUCUCUGGGCCAUUACUGACGCUGAGGAGCGAAAGCGUGGGGAGCGAACAGGAUUAGAUACCCUGGUAGUCCACGCCGUAAACGUUGGGAACUAGGUGUUGGCGACAUUCCACGUCGUCGGUGCCGCAGCUAACGCAUUAAGUUCCCCGCCUGGGGAGUACGGCCGCAAGGCUAAACUCAAAGGAAUUGACGG